CCUUCUCUGCGUGUCCGACUUACAGUGAAGCACAGCACCAGAUUAGGGCUGUUCUCCUAUCUCUUUUUGCUUCUCUCCUUUUCCAACUUUCUACAGAUGAUUUUAAACCAUAAGCCACCCAAGGGAGGGCGCUGCCAGGAGGAGACCGCAUGCGGCGCCGGGGACCCACCUGGUCGAACUUCUUCUGCUUCUUCUCCAGGUUGGAGGCGAUCUGGCGCUGGUGAUCCAGGUCCACCGUCAGGUCGUCGAGCUCCUGCUGCAGGCGGUUCUUGGUCUUCUCCAGCUUGUCGUAGGCCAGGGCCUUCUCCUCCAGGCGCUGGCCCAACGCCUCCGCAUCUUUCAGAAGCUUCUUUCUGGCUUCUUCCAAACUCUCGAUUGUUCCUAAGUCGUCAUCUACUUUCUUCUUGGUGUCCGUGAGCUAGGUUUUACGGGAAGAGAGAUGCGCGUCAAACAACCCCGUUGAUGCUUACAGACUUGAAAGUUUUCAAAGGCACGCAGAGGGCUUUCUGUGCUGACCAGGAUACGCCUCGUCACCACCAACAGCCUCUGGAGAGCCCACGCGUCCGCGGCCCUGGCAACAGCGUGGUGGUGAAGAGCUCUGGACUCGACAGAGACCUCGCCUUCAGCUCGGGCUCCGGGAGCUGCCAGGGGAGUCACCAGAGGCCAGCGCCCUCCUCCGCUUCUUUGAGGCGCCCAGACUCACCCAGGGGGCGCGGUGUGCGGAUCGAAGGGGAGACCACCCCCAGGAGCCGGACGUAGGCUCAGCUCGCCCCCCCGCCACACAGGGCGUUCUGUAAGGCCAGAGCCGAGAGAAGCUCUUCAACGCCCACGAACGGUGCGCCGGACGAACAAAUUCAAACUACAAACCGACUGAAGUCGAAAACCAGCCAUUUGACUCAAAAGCAGGUCAUCGCACAGCCGUUAGCAUCAAAUCGAAGGCGAGAGAAGUCAGUGGGAGGAUGGAAUUUCGGGGAAGAUAUUGGGGGGGCGGUUCUUAAGGAUGUCCCUUUGUGGGAAGUGACCCGGACCCUCUCACGCUGCAUCCAUCGCCGGGCCCACGUUUGCGGACUGCCCGUCACCCCCACGCCCCCUCCCCGGGGUGCAAGCAGGACCGCAGCUCCCAGGCACUAGGGGGAGGGGACGGAGUGCAGGCAGAGGGUCCUGUGAUUGCGGCCCUCCCCGCCACAGCUCCCCAGGGACUCCUCAACCACGCCGGGGAUCCCUCCCGCCCCACGGCGGUCCUCCGACCGGCCGACACAGGCUGAUCACACGGGUGCGAAGAGCAGGUGCGUGCACCCUGGGUCCUCCCCUAGCAGAAGAACCCCGCUCCGGCAAGAUCGGCUUAUGAUGACUCCUCACCCCGGCAUCCUCCCUCGUCUAUACUCAACGACAAGGCAACAAAACCCUGGGCAGGGGUUUAAACGACCGCUCGCUUUCCAGCCACUAAGAAAGCAGAGUGUUGAGAAGGUGCAGUCGGGGCCCGGGGCCCUCCUCCUGCAGUGUAGACGCCAGGGUCUGGCCCGGGGAGCGACCUUAACUACAAUCAAAGGAGCGAAAGCCCGUCGUGAACGCUUGCAGGCGAGGCAGGACACGGUAACUGCAAACAGUCAGAACUGGAUCCAAACGGAUCAACCGGCGUGCGCGUCUUCCGUCAGUUACUGCUCUGUCGGGGGUACGGAAACACCCGCGGGGGCCCGGCCUCCGUUUCUCCAACCCCAAACACUGACCUUCUAGAUCCGAGAUCAUCACUUCCUGCUUAUUCCUGAUUUUGGCCAAGUUUUUGGCCUUUUCUUCCUCCUCAGCCAGCUGAGAGGAGCACUCCGCGAUGCGGUCUUCCAUGAGCUUCUUUUCCUGAGGACAAAGAACCGACUGCUUCGGAGAAGGCCUUCCAAAUCCCCCCUCGGGGGCCUGGUCUUGCUCAGAAAACGGGUGCUCGUGCCCCCCCCCAUACCCCCCAGCAGGUCCCACCACUCUGCAGAGGGGGAGCCCUGCGGCUGGUGCAGGGGAUGACGGGGCCUGUGUGGACGGGGCCUGGUCACCGAGCAGGGAUCAGCGCAUGCGAGACGCGCACAUCAAACGUCUGGAGGUGGAUUUAAAUAAUUAAACAGUUCUUGUCUUUAGAAAUCUAUACACGUAGAGCCUUAGAAGAGAAAAGUACGUAAAUGAACCCGAAUUCUUGAGAAUUUCCCGCCGGAUGCCCCUUCCAGUGAGCGCAUCCACUUUGUAACGGAAAUACUCUCUUACUUUGAUAAAUUUGGAGUUCUGGUCCUCGAGAAGCAGGAUCUCCUCUUCCAUCUUCUUGAUUUUAGCCUCUGCCGUCACCUUUUCCAGCUGGAGUUUUUGGCGAGCGCCUUCCUCCUCGUCCAGUUGCUCUUCCAAGUCCUUGGGAAGCAGAAAACACAGUCAGCGCCCACCGGCCGCACAACGUCCUGCCGCGCUAACCACUGGAGGUGCGCAUGCUAACAUCAAACACCGAUUUUUGGUUUUCAAAAGGGAAAGGACAUCCUGAGGCGUCACGGCGUGAGCCCACCACCACGCGGGUGGGAUCCCAGGGUCUACAGCCGAUACGGACACACACACUUCGAUUUCCCACCCUGCCUCGCUGUCUGUAGUAAACAGACGCAACCGAACAGGGUUCUACAUACAGAUCAACGAACGGCCCAUUUCAGAAAUUUACCCUGGUUGAUUCUGGAACGAGACCCGUGUAAAAAUGAUGAACACGUUACUACGAAAAGCCUCCAAGACACGCCGGAGCGCACGGCAGCAUGCGGAACCCGGCACAGACGCGGCCCAUGGGCUCUCCCCCCGCCCCCAUGUGCC